rnacentral:pre_miRNA from 1 species
UAUUAAAAUUUUUAUCUAUUUUUAUCAUUAAAAAUUAAUGUAAUUGACAAAAUAAUCAAACAGUGACAUAUGUUGUGUCACGUAUACCUCUUGUUAACAUACAAAGGCCUGUUUCCAAUAAUAAAAUUGGAUGAAAUUUUUAAUA